CAGCAGCCACGGUAAUACGUAGGUCCCGAGCGUUGUCCGGAUUUAUUGGGCGUAAAGCGAGCGCAGGCGGUUAGAUAAGUCUGAAGUUAAAGGCUGUGGCUUAACCAUAGUACGCUUUGGAAACUGUUUAACUUGAGUACAAGAGGGGAGAGUGGAAUUCCAUGUGUAGCGGUGAAAUGCGUAGAUAUAUGGAGGAACACCGGUGGCGAAAGCGGCUCACUGGACCAUUACUGACGCUGAGGCGCGAAAGCUAGGGGAGCAAACAGGAUUAGAUACCACCGUAGUCCCUGUCUCUUAUACA
rnacentral:rRNA from 1 species